rnacentral:rRNA from 1 species
GGGUGAAAAUUAAUAAACUAAAAAUAAUAAAAAAAUUUUUAUAUUAAAAAUAAUUAAUGGGGGUUAAAGUAUUUUUAAUAGAAAAAAUAAAAAAAUUUAUAGUAAAUUAGUAUUGUGGAAGAAAUUUGAAAUAAAUGAAAAUAAAUUAAAUUAAAAGUAAAUUUAAAUUAUUGUAUCUUGUGUAUCAGAGUUUUUUAAUAAAAAAAUUAAUGGAUUUAAAAUUCUCGAAUUAAAAAGAGAUAAUUAAUUAUAAAAGUUAUUGUAGCAAAAAUAUUUUUAAUAAUUAAAUUGAAAUGAAAUGUUAAUCGUUUUUUAAGAUAUCUAGUUUUUUUAGAAAAAAAUUUAAUUUUGUAUUCUUUUUUUUCAUUUAUUAAUUAAUUAAUAAAUGAAAAAAAGAAUUUAAUAUUUUAAGGGAUAAGCUUUAAAAUAAAAAAUUAUAAUAAAAUUUAUAAUUUAAUUAAAAAUUUUAAAAUUUAUAUUGUUUAUAAAUUAUAAUUUUUUAUAAAUAAUUUUAAUUAAAAUAAAAUUUAAAUUAAUUUAAUUUUUUAUAAAAAUAUAAUUUUUAAUAAAAUAAAAUUAGUAAUAAUGAUAAAAUUAGUAUAUAUAUAUAAUGUAUAUUUAUAUUUUAAUAUAAAAAAAAAUUAUUAAUAAAUAAUAUAAUAAAAUUAAAUAAAAGGAAUUCGGCAAAAAUUUAUAUUCACUUGUUUAUCAAAAACAUGUCCUUUUGAGUAAUAAUUUAAGGUUGAAUCUGCCCACUGAUAUAAUAUUAAAGGGCUGCAGUAUUUUGACUGUACAAAGGUAGCAUAAUCAUUAGUCUCUUAAUUGGUGACUAGCAUGAAUGAUUUGAUGAAAUAUAAUCUGUCUCUUGUUUAUUAAGUAGAAUUUAAUUUUUUAAUUAAAAAGUUAAAAUGAUUUUAAAAGACGAGAAGACCCUAUAGAGUUUUAUAAAGAUAUUAAUUUAAAUAAAUUAUUUAAUUUAAUAUAAAAAUUAAUAUAUUUAUUUUGUUGGGGUGAUAAAAAAAUAAAAUUAACUUUUUUUAAAUAAAUUACAUUAAUAAGUGAAUAAAUGAUCCAAAAUUUUUGAUUAAAAGAAAAAAUUACCUUAGGGAUAACAGCGUAAUUUUUUUUUUUAGUUCAAAUAAGAAAAAAAGUUUGCGACCUCGAUGUUGGAUUAAGAUAAAAUUUAAAUGCAAAAGUUUAAAAUUUUGAUCUGUUCGAUCAUUAAAAUCUUACAUGAUCUGAGUUCAAACCGGUGUAAGCCAGGUUGGUUUCUAUCUUUAGAAAAAAAAAAUAUUUUAGUACGAAAGGAUCAAAUAUUAAAAUUAAAUUUUUGAUUUUUGAAUAUUAAUAAAUAAAAUUUAAAAUUUAUAAUAAAAAAUAAAAAUUAAUAAAA